UACAGAGGGUGCAAGCGUUGUUCGGAAUGACUGGGCGUAAAGGGCGCGUAGGCGGAUUGUACAGUCAGGCGUGAAAUUCCCGGGCUCAACCUGGGGGCUGCGCUUGAGACGUGCGAUCUUGAGUGGGGAAGAGGGUCGUGGAAUUCCCAGUGUAGAGGUGAAAUUCGUAGAUAUUGGGAAGAACACCGGUGGCGAAGGCGGCGACCUGGUCCUUAACUGACGCUGAGGCGCGAAAGCGUGGGGAGCAAACAGG
rnacentral:rRNA from 1 species